GAGUUAAAUGUUUGCAUCCUGUGGAGAGUGUGGCUUGGCAGAAAGGGGAAGAAUAUUCCAGAGCUGGAGGAGUAGCUUGUGAAGAGGAGCUGCCUUAUGGAGAAGCCCACAUUGCAAAGAACUGAAGGAGACCCCUGAUCAAUAGGAAACAAAGGACCCUCAGUCCAAAAGUCCAUGAGGAACUUGAGUCCUGCAGCAACCAUGAAGCACAAUACCCUGGAUUCUGGAUGAAUCCAGGGCCCACCAGAGCUUUGGAAAAGCAGAAUGAGGUGGAGGAGUAGUCUAAG